rnacentral:lncRNA from 1 species
UCUCUCAGUGCUCUAAAGACGUAGGUCCACCAUCUCCUACUGAAAACUCGGCUGUCAUCCUUAUCUUUGUUCUUUGUAUAUGUCUUUUUUUCUUGGGCUGUUUUUUAAGACUUUCUGCUAACUACUUUUAAGCAAACUGAUUAUGAUGUGCUUUGGUGUAGUUUUCUUCAUGUUUCUUGUGCUUAGGGAUUGCUGAGCUUCUUGGAUCUGUGGGUUUAUAGACUAUGAAAUUUGUAAAAUUUUGACCGUUUCUUCAAACACUUUCUAUGCUCCUCGUCAUUCUCCUUUGGGAACUCAAAUUAUAGAUUAGGCCACUUAGAGUUGUGACACACAAAAUGAGGCACUCUUCAUUUUUCUUCCAGUUUGUAUUUCACUCUGUUUCAUUUUACAUAGCUUCUAUUGUUGUUUCCAAGUUCACUAAUCUUUUCUGCUAAGUCUGAGCUGUCAUUAAUCCCAUCCAAUGUAAUUUUCAUCUUAGUCACUGUAUUAUAUAUUAAUAACAAUGCCAAUAGAAACCACAGCAGGAUUUUCCUGGAAAUCUUCAAAAGAUCUGUCUUUGAAUUUGCAGAUUCUUUCCUCUGUGUGAUUGAGUCUGCCGUUGCCUCUACUGCACUUUUCAUUUUAUUUAUUCUUCAAUUCCACAAUUUGUUUGAUUCUAUCUCUUUGUUGACCUUCUUGUUUUGCUCAUGUAUUUUUUUCUUGAUUUCAUUGAGUUAUCCAUCUGUGUUCUCUUGUAGCUCAACAAACUUCUUUAAAACAAAUAUUUUGGAUUAUUUUUCAGGUGAUUCAUAGGUCUCCGUUUCUUUGUGAUCCAUUACUGGAAAAGUACUGCAUUCUUUUCAUGGUAUCAUGUUUCCUUGAUUUUUUUGUGUUCCUUAUAGUCUUAUAUUUGUUGACACAAAUAACUCAAAACCAAUCUAUAAAUCAAAACUGGGGCGAGUUUAUCAUGAGCCAAAUGUGAGGAACAGAUAGCCUGGGAGAGUCCUUCCACAAAGAAAUGGAGCACUCCAAAGAAGUGGGAGUGUAUAGAGUAUUCAUAUACCAUCAAAGAGCAUGUAUCACGCAUGACUGAAAAGUCCCUUUUAGGGGCUGGCCCGGUGGCACAGCAGUUAAGUGCACACAUUCCACUU